rnacentral:pre_miRNA from 1 species
AACCCGUAGAUUCGAAUUUGUGUUUACAUAAUGGAAUAACACUGUUCGAUUCUCGGGUAGA